ACGGGCUUGGCGGAAUCAGCGGGGAAAGAAGACCCUGUUGAGCUUGACUCUAGUCCGACUUUGUGAAGAGACAUGAGANGGUGUAGCAUAGGUGGGAGCUUCNCGGCGACCUUGAAAUACCACUACUUUUAUCGUUUCUUUACUUAUUCAGUUGAGCGGAGAGCGGGGCGCAAGCCCCUCGCUUCUGGAGUUAAGGCGGCCGUGCCUCCGCGGCUCGCCGCCGAUCCGCUCUGAAGACAGUGUCAGGCGGGGAGUUUGACUGGGGCGGUACAUCUGUCAAAAGGUAACGCAGGUGUCCUAAGGCGAGCUCAGCGAGGACGGAAACCUCGCGUAGAGCAAAAGGGCAAAAGCUCGCUUGAUUUUGAUUUUCAGUACGAAUACAGACCGUGAAAGCGUGGCCUAUCGAUCCUUUUGACUUUAGGAGUUUUAAGCAAGAGGUGUCAGAAAAGUUACCACAGGGAUA
rnacentral:rRNA from 1 species